GCAAUCAUACCAGCACUAUUGCACAGGAUCUCAUCAGAACUCUGCAGUUAAAAGUGCUUGGGAAAGCGCAAUACUAGGAUGUAUGACCCCCCUAGGAAGUCAUCGUGCUGCACCCA